UUCAUUAUCAUGGAUGCAUAUGCAUCAUCAUAUCUAUCUAUCUGUUCAGAAAUCAGAACAGACUGCGUGUUUCUUUUAGAAUUCCUGGGGAAGAAAGCAUCCUUAGGUGCAAUUUUGGAGGAUCCUUGUAUCCCAAAAAUUUUAGGCUUUGGAUUUCUUAUAGAGUUCCUGAGUUAGUGUUUUGUUUGGAAAUGUGAAUCACGAACCAUUAGUCUGAUCGAAGGCUUAUACUUACUGACUUAAGGUGCUAUCAAUAUAGGUAUAUGUUGGUUCUUCUAGUGAUUUUGACUCACAUUUACAAUUAUUUGCAUGUUUCUUAUAUAUGUAUGAUGUAUUAUCUUCAAAUCUGGCUGAUGGAUUGUUACUGUGUAUGUUUCAUCGGGAGUUUGAGAAUAUGAGGAAGACAUGGAAUUGUUUGAUAUCCCGCCUACUUUAGUGACCUUUGCAUGCAGGAUGUUUGGAUCCAGGGACUAAAGUUUAGGAGAUAUCAUAUCGGGUACCAUAUUGAUUGUCACAUCUGGUGUUUCGAUACUAAUAAGGGCAGUCCCAAUGGGCUAUUUAUUGUGGUUUCUAUCUAUCUUAAUUAUAUUGACAGCUAAGCAAAAUGCUGAUGUGGCACUAGAGUUAAUAAAGAGAGACUGAAAAUCGAAGAAAUCGUUUCUUCAUCAGGACUCGGCGUCCUCGCGUGGUUCAAGACAACAAGAAACGGGGAAAACACCAUUGGGAAGACCUAGGUCGAGUCUUGCGGAUCCGAUGCUCCGCCGCCGCCUCCGCCACCUCUCCCGCCACCUCUUCCCCGCGCUCGCUAUUCUCCCGCGCACUCCCUGGAUCUCCCGCGCGCGCUCGUCGUAUUUGUCCCACGCGCGCUCAAUCCAUCCCAUGCGUUCAAUUGCUUUCGCGGCCGUCGCUCUUCUCCAGCAUGCUCAAUUGCAACCCAUCUCAAAUCCACCCGUCCCCAAUUCAUCCUCCAUCUUCAAGCCCCAACUCCAAGACCUAAGCCUCCUCUGUCCAAAGUUCAUCCCAAAUCGCUGGGAACAUGAACCCCGAGGGAAGAAUCUGAGCUCAAAUUCUAGGCGAGGCACCGUUGCUCCAGUCGCCCGUGCUGCCAUAUCUGAUUUGGUGGCCGAUGCUCCCGCAGCCCCUGUUGAUGGAUCCACUUCGGCCACUAGUACUCCCGCUGCCCUGGCUGCAGCAGGAUCUCCGACACUUCCAAGUCUUCAGGCCACUGGUUUCCCGGCGUGGUGGACUGGUCCAUCUACAGUAGCCUCCUUCAGGCAUGAAUCGUCUACCAUUGAAGGUGUAUCAUUCUCCACAACAUGAUCAUUGAAGAUGAGAAGGAUGUAGAGGAGGUUCUACUUGAUUUGAAUGAGGAGGGCGCCACAUAUACGGUCACUGGUGCUACAAUCUCUCAUGGACAAAAUCCAGAGAUGGAAGAAGUACUUAACAGAAAUAAUGCCUUACAUAAUCGUGAGGCGUACAAGCAACUUCAGACUGAUAUGAUUGAUCAUAUUUGGGAAAAUUUUGGUGAUUCAUAUAGGCAAAAUAAUUAGAUGAUAUUGUGAACCUGAUGGCUUCUGGAGGACUGCUGCAAUUUGAGAAUUUUUUUUGACAGCCUGCAAUUUGAGAUGACGCUGUUCAACCUGAUGUCGUGCAAACCGAUGACCUGCAACCUGAUGAUGGCAGCUUACUAUUUUAUCUACUAUAAUAUAUUAUAUAUCAUGAACUUUAGUUAUUUUGUCGCGCUACUAUAUGCAAACUGCCUGUCAAUGGAUGAUGCUAUGUGUUAUGCAACUUUAGUUGUUUUGUUGCCCAACUGAACUACUAUUUCGUUUGCAAUCUGACGCUGUUCUAGGAAGUGGUUUGGCUGCCAUUUGUUUGCUGAA